rfam:Echinostoma caproni strain Egypt genome assembly, scaffold: ECPE_scaffold0012765
GCACUGUUGACGAGUCCCAAACAGGACGAAGCAGCUGUCCCGGUGC